rnacentral:rRNA from 1 species
AGUUUGAUCCUGGCUAAGGAUGAACGCUGGCGGCGUGCUUAACACAUGCAAGUCGAACGAAGCAUUUAAGACAGAUUACUUCGGUUUGAAGUCUUUUAUGACUGAGUGGCGGACGGGUGAGUAACGCGUGGGUAACCUGCCUCAUACAGGGGGAUAGCAGCUGGAAACGGCUGGUAAUACCGCAUAAGCGCACAGUACCACAUGGUACAGUGUGAAAAACUCCGGUGGUAUGAGAUGGACCCGCGUCUGAUUAGCUUGUUGGCGGGGUAACGGCCCACCAAGGCGACGAUCAGUAGCCGACCUGAGAGGGUGACCGGCCACAUUGGGACUGAGACACGGCCCAGACUCCUACGGGAGGCAGCAGUGGGGAAUAUUGCACAAUGGAGGAAACUCUGAUGCAGCGACGCCGCGUGAGUGAAGAAGUAGUUCGCUAUGUAAAGCUCUAUCAGCAGGGAAGAUAGUGACGGUACCUGACUAAGAAGCUCCGGCUAAAUACGUGCCAGCAGCCGCGGUAAUACGUAUGGAGCAAGCGUUAUCCGGAUUUACUGGGUGUAAAGGGAGUGUAGGUGGCCAGGCAAGUCAGAAGUGAAAGCCCGGGGCUCAACCCCGGGACUGCUUUUGAAACUGCAGGGCUAGAGUGCAGGAGGGGCAAGUGGAAUUCCUAGUGUAGCGGUGAAAUGCGUAGAUAUUAGGAGGAACACCAGUGGCGAAGGCGGCUUGCUGGACUGUAACUGACACUGAGGCUCGAAAGCGUGGGGAGCAAACAGGAUUAGAUACCCUGGUAGUCCACGCUGUAAACGAUGAAUACUAGGUGUCGGGGCACAUAAGUGCUCCGGUGCCGCAGCAAACGCAAUAAGUAUUCCACCUGGGGAGUACGUUCGCAAGAAUGAAACUCAAAGGAAUUGACGGAA